GCGUAAUAGCUCACUGGUCGAGUCGGCCUGCGCGGAAGAUGUAACGGGGCUAAACCAUGCACCGAAGCUGCGGCAGCGACACUAUGUGUUGUUGGGUAGGGGAGCGUUCUGUAAGCCUGCGAAGGUGGCCUGUGAGGGUUGCUGGAGGUAUCAGAAGUGCGAAUGCUGACAUAAGUAACGAUAAAGCGGGUGAAAAGCCCGCUCGCCGGAAGACCAAGGGUUCCUGUCCAACGUUAAUCGGGGCAGGGUGAGUCGACCCCUAAGGC
rnacentral:rRNA from 2 species